UACAGAGGGUGCAAGCGUUAAUCGGAAUUACUGGGCGUAAAGCGCGCGUAGGUGGUUUGUUAAGUUGGAUGUGAAAUCCCCGGGCUCAACCUGGGAACUGCAUUCAAAACUGACAAGCUAGAGUAUGGUAGAGGGUGGUGGAAUUUCCUGUGUAGCGGUGAAAUGCGCAGAUAUUGGGAGGAACACCAGCGGCGAAGGCGGCACUCUGGGCUGGUAUUGACGCUGAGGAGCGAAAGCGUGGGUAGCGAACAGG
rnacentral:rRNA from 1 species